rnacentral:tRNA from 1 species
GCCGAAGUAGCUCAGGUGGUAGAGCAACAGACUGAAAAUCUGUGUGUCGGCGGUUCAACUCCGCCCUUCGGCA